rnacentral:tRNA from 1 species
CAAGGAUUAGUGUAACACAGUAACACAAUCUAGCAAUCAAUGCUAGGGAGUUAUCCGUGCAAACCGGAUACCCUUGA